CUAAGUUCAAAGAACCCUCAUCUCUGAGAAUUCAACAGCUAAGGAAGCAACUACCGCCUGGGAUGUGCAGAAAUAUUUAACAAACCUUAUUGCAUGCCUAAGGUUCUGAGGAGAGACUUUAGAGAGAGACAGAGAAGGACUACUGCAGCCUCCAUUAUCGUCACUGUCAAUAUGUUACUAUUGGGGAAGGAUUUCAGUUAUAUGCUUUGAAACUGUGCCUUGUUACUACUACCCUCAUUCUGCACUUCAGUAAAGAGAGACUUAUUUAUGUAUACCAGCGGGCCUGGUUACUGACUCCACCAUCCACCGGCUAUUACGCUUGCUCCCCUGCCUCGCACCUAAAUAUCUAGGGCACCCCAACUACCAACAGGCAGGAACUCCAGCUCCAAGCAGUGACCUGAGGGACGAAAGGGUGUGCCCUCCAGUCCCAGCGACAGCAAGAGGGGGAGAUCACCACUGUGACCUGUGGAUUCCUUUUCAAACAGUGGAAGGAACGAUACUUGCAGCUCACCCAGGAAGGUAGCCUUCUUCUGUCCAGAGAUCCAGAGUCUUCAACAGAUCUAGAAAUUCCACUUCUUACUCGUUGUCGAGCAAUACUCGAGGGGCUCUGAGCCUCGGAGACAUGCCCAAACUGCCUAUUGGCAUCAGAGGAACAGCUGUCUAGGUCUCUCCUUGAGUGAUGGAAGAACACUUCUGCUCCUUGCCCCAGAUUCACAAGAGUGCAGCAAAUGGAUAAAUGUUCUACGGAAAGUAAAAGAGAGUUUGUCGCAGCCUCCACUUUCCCCAACAGUUGUAGACUGCACAACAAAUCCCCUAUCCGGAGAUGCUGCUGGAGUGAUGUUUCAAAUCAAACCCAAGGACAAGACCCAAGGAAAAGAAGGUAGAGCAGCUCAUUGUAAAGUAAAAUGUCCUCCACAUUGCCUCCGUCAUGGUUUCCCAACUGCAUUGGGGGGUGAAGACAGCAGGUGUGCUUAUGGGAGGAGCUGCUGCAGGCCCAACACUGGGGUACAUGGUGACUUCAAGUCAUGGUUCUCGGUUCUAUUGACACCGCUCCACCAGAUUUUCGAGAGCUGGGCUACCACCCUUCAACAGAUGUAGAAGGCUGCCAGUAGUGAUGUGGAGUUUGAAGGCAUGGACCAGGAUUUCAAUGGUUUGAUUUUGGAGGAUUUGCCUUUUAAACAUCUUCUAGUGUGUACCUACUGCCCCAAAGUAAGACUCCAGCAAUUACCCUAAGAACCUUAGUAGAAGAUCAAGGGAAGUUUGAUAUAACAUAAUACUGUCCAAGGAAAUUCUCAGUAGUCAAGUACUGUACGACCAAUGAGUAGGCAGUAGAUGAUAUCAAUCCUAUGUAUCUGUGACAAUUCACUUGUGUUUGAGGGGUUAGAGAUACCUCAUGCCAGUCUGUCAAAAUGAUUGAUUUUGUUAAGUGAUUUUUGUCCAAUAAGGAAGAAAUAAAUAUCUACAUAUAUUGACCUCUUUAUACCACCAUUUAGGUUUUAA